GGUCAUAGUUUUCAGCCGACCAGAACGGUUCAAUGAAUUUGAACUCAACGGUGGUUGAGAAAGACAAUUCAAGUCGUUAAGCAGCUGCUGUUGUUGCAUAUCAAAAUCACUCAGAUAAUCAAAAUCCUCUACAGGCAUGUCUCUUGCACUCAGAGAAGAUCUUAGGCGGCUGGAUUGAAUAUUGCUUCCUGGAAGAUGCAAGGCAGGUACAUUCGGUUGGGGCCAAGCCACGGACGAGUGAGACAUGCCAUUGGCAGAUGGAGACAUCGGAGGAGUGAACGGUGAUGGAGACAUCACAGGGACCGAAGAUGGAGAACCAGGUAGAAGGUUCAUGACUGUAGCAUAAUCCAUGGCAGAAGCCCCGGAAGUGCAAGAACGUGGUGAGGGAACAGCAGAGCCAGUCGAGACAUACAGAGGGCGCAGUUCCUCAGUGGUGUGUGCAAAAAAGCAGACUCUUCUUGAGCAAUUUGUGCCAUCUUUGCAAAGGCGGGUUCGAUAUUGUGCUGGGU
rnacentral:misc_RNA from 1 species